CGUAACAAGGUCUCCGUAGGUGAACCUGCGNNNNNAUCAUUACACAAAUAUGAAGGCGGGCUGGAACCUCUCGGGGUUACAGCCUUGCUGAAUUAUUCACCCUUGUCUUUUGCGUACUUCUUGUUUCCUUGGUGGGUUCGCCCACCACUAGGACAAACAUAAACCUUUUGUAAUUGCAAUCAGCGUCAGUAACAAAUUAAUAAUUACAACUUUCAACAACGGAUCUCUUGGUUCUGGCAUCGAUGAAGAACGCAGCGAAAUGCGAUAAGUAGUGUGAAUUGCAGAAUUCAGUGAAUCAUCGAAUCUUUGAACGCACAUUGCGCCCUUUGGUAUUCCAAAGGGCAUGCCUGUUCGAGCGUCAUUUGUACCCUCAAGCUUUGCUUGGUGUUGGGCGUCUUGUCUCUAGCUUUGCUGGAGACUCGCCUUAAAGUAAUUGGCAGCCGGCCUACUGGUUUCGGAGCGCAGCACAAGUCGCACUCUCUAUCAGCAAAGGUCUAGCAUCCAUUAAGCCUUUUUUUCAACUUUUGACCUCGGAUCAAGUAGGGAUACCCGCUGAACUUAAGCAUAUCA
rnacentral:rRNA from 1 species